AGCGGAGUAGAGCAGUUGGCUAGGCUCGUGGGUUCAUUCCCAUAAGGUCGCUGGUUCGAGUCCAGCCUCCGCGA
rnacentral:tRNA from 1 species